rnacentral:SRP_RNA from 1 species
GCUGGACGCAGUGGCACGUGCCUGUAGUCCCAGCUACUCGGGAGGCUGAGGCUGGAGGAUUGCUUGAGCCCAGGAGUUCUGGGCUGUAGUGCGCUAUGCCGAUCGGGCGUCCACACUAAGUUCAGCAUCAAUAUGGUGACCUUCUGGGAGCAGGGGACCACCAGGUUGCCUAAGGAGGGGUGAACUAGCCCAGGUUGGAAACAGAGCAGGUCACAACUCUUGUGCUGAUCAGUAGUGGCAUUGUGCCUGUGAAUAGCCACUGCACUCCAGCCUGGGCAACAUAGCGAGACCCCAUCUCU